GUGGGGGAUAUUGCACAAUGGGGGAAACCCUGAUGCAGCGACGCCGCGUGAGGGAAGACGGUCCUCUGGAUUGUAAACCUCUGUCUUCGGGGACGAAACGAGACGGUACCCGAGGAGGAAGCCACGGCUAACUACGUGCCAGCAGCCGCGGUAAUACGUAGGUGGCAAGCGUUGUCCGGAAUUACUGGGUGUAAAGGGAGCGUAGGCGGGCAGGCAAGUCAGGCGUGAAAUAUAUCGGCUCAACCGGUAACGGCGCUUGAAACUGCAGGUCUUGAGUGAAGUAGAGGUUGGCGGAAUUCCUAGUGUAGCGGUGAAAUGCGUAGAUAUUAGGAGGAACACCAGUGGCGAAGGCGGCCAACUGGGCUUUUACUGACGCUGAGGCUCGAAAGUGUGGGGAGCAAACAGGAUUAGAAACCCCAGUAGUCC
rnacentral:rRNA from 1 species